UUACAUGUGCAAAUGACUGGAACUUUGUCAUGAUGACACAACUGAUGCUUUAUGUAAAGCUCAGUGUUUUCACGCUGGCAGAAACACUUCUCUUGGAAAUGUGUACAGCGGUCUGCAUUCCAUCACACAAUCUUGGAUGAGCUUGACAGACAUGCAAUGUUGACAAUAUAUCAUCAGAUUUACCCUGAAAAUUGUACUUUAAUAUGCACACUUAAGUGUUAAGGUUACAUCCCUAAGUUGAGCUAAGUGUGUUCAGUGCUGGAUGGUGAAUGUCACACUAAAUUUGUUCCAUUUGUGUGACUUUGUAACAUUAGAACAUUUUCAGCAUUAAUGCCUGUUUUAUACUUAAAUCUCAUUAUUUCUCAAUUAAUAACACUGAGGGGUUUUGGCCAGGUCCUGGGUCUAGUAAACAGGUGAACAGAAGGUAAAAUGGGUUAGCUACAACAGGAAUGAGAGUCAAAAGGCUGGUGCUGAACAGUUGAUUUGCAUUUGCAUGGCUCUCAGCAACUUCAUUUAAAUACAAAAACGUCUCCUAGUCCCAAGGGCAAGGGGUGACAGGGGAACAUGGACACACAGCGUUUUUGACCAUUCUUGGCAGUGCUCUACAAUUUUCCACUCUGACAAAAACCUCUUGCCGAUAGCCCUCAAUCUCGAUGCGCACGGAAGAACUAAGUGUCAAUAGCUGUCGAAAAUCCCACUUUUCAUGCAGUGAGAGAUGAAACAAGUUCAGCUAGUUAGGUUAGAAAAAGAAAGAAUGUGUUGCCUCCUUUAAAAAGCCACUGUCACUGAUAACUCCUCAUUUCCAUCUUCUGGCUUGAGGCAUAAAGGUGUUUGUUGCCUUCUCUUUCCAAACUCUGGUGACUGUAAGGAACUUGCGGGAUAGUUGGACUAUACUGAGAAAGCUGACACUUAGAGGAUGGCACCUCACGUAUUCCUUC